GAGUGAUCCACCGCUAAGAGUUGUACAGUUUUCGUUUUCAGGUUGGAGGCCAAGCUUCCGAGACUGGGGGGGUUGAACGAGCUUCAGCAGA